rnacentral:lncRNA from 1 species
UUGACAUCACAAUGCCUGCUUUUGUUUAAAUGAACAUACUUACUAUGCAGUAAUGAAUAAUGAUGUAGUGAAAGUUUAACAGCUUUGAAGUAAUCUGGGUAACUGGGGUUUCUCUAUCGAAUUGUGCUCUUUAAGUAUUCAUAACUAGCCAUGUUCAGACAUUUAUGCUUUAUGCUGUUCAUUGAACUGGAUUUGUUUGCCUGAUAAGAAAUUUUUUACACCAACUUCCUGCCUAUUGACAAAUUGUGAAGAGAGAGCCAAAAGAAAAGAAGGUAAUUCUGCCAGUUAUUAUAUAAAAAACAGGAAAAGAAAUCAUGUUGGUUAAGUAAGGAGAUUUUCUACUGUGUCAUCCUCAUCGGAACAAAUUUCCUGUUGCAAUUGUAAUUCGGGGUUGUAACUAAGUAAGUGGAGCCUUGGAGGUGAUGAUGGCAAACUACAACCACUGAAUGUAUCAGGGAUCACCAAAGUGAAUCAUCAUUUGGUAUUGUUUGUUGUCAUCGACAUGGUCCCUGCCCCCACGAAAUGAACUUGGUGUUGACAUUAUACAACCCCUUCAUUCUGGAUCAUCUGGAUGCCAAGAAAACUAGAUUGGUGUUACUAUAUGUAAUGACAGAGAGGAUGCGGCCUAGAUGAGCAAAAAAAAAAAAAAGAAAUCGGCUGACAACGACGAAGGGUCUGCAAUACGUUCGACGCUAAUCAUCUAUUGUUGUUGGUAUGAUUUGUUUGUAAGUUAACCCGUUGGCUGCCACGCAUUUUUCUCCCCAUGUUAGCUUCUAGCACGGGCCCGUACUGUUCGGUCUCUUGGUGUAGGUGCCAUGGGGCCGAAUAUGUCGCACCUCCUCCAGAUUUGCCGUAAGGCCCUGUUAGGCAGUGCACCACGACAGCAUCACACAUCACAACAGAUGAAAUCCCCAAGGUACAAUCUCUUCUAUAAUGAGAAGUGCUCCUACAUCUGAUAGUGAUCCCAGAUUGUUGACGAAAUAUCGUAUACUGCUACGUUUACGUAUCACCUUUUUAACUUUUAACUUCAUUCCUGUCAUUCUGCACUUUGCCCUACUUGUGAUAAAUCUUUAUUUUCUCUGUGUAAGUUUCGAUGGCCAUUGAUGUUCAGACUGUUGAUGGAGAGAUGCUGUAAGUGUUUUAAUUUCUUAUUACAAUUAGUAAGAACACCUGUAAAAGGAAUAACUUUUCAGGUGUUGAACCUUGA